rnacentral:lncRNA from 1 species
AUGGGCUCCUAUAACAGUAAGCUUUGAGGUUUAUUAAAAAACAGAAUUCACCAGGCCUGUGCCAAACCUUUGAGAUUACAGAGAUUGGAUGUCCUGUGAUAUCACAACAGAGGAUUUGCAAUGUCAGGCUUUUGGAAGCUAAAUUAUGUGAUCAUUCAAGGCAUUGGUGUUUUUUCCCUUGGCAACCCAUCAGGACAAUGUAGGAGACACGUAUGGAAUGGGGACACCCUUAGCAUCCAUCUUCAGAGCUGGGCAGAGAAGCUGUGUCGCUCUCCUUCCCUCGCCUCCAUGAUUUCUGCACAGUGUGAGUACAACCAUUGGCUCCUCAAGGACAGCCUUGGUUUUUGGCUUCUCAAGGAAAAACUUGUCCUCCAUGCAUGCUCAGAGCAGGACAUCACUACACACAAGAUCAAAUGCUGGCUGUGGCUGAGGUCUUGCUCCUGGUCCAGUGUCUAUAUUGGAGAUAGAAGAUGUGCCAAGGAAAAAAGCCCCGUACUGGCAGGAGUCAGGCAAGUUGCUGUUGGCUGUCCAUAAAUGCAGUGUGUAAUUGGUUCUGCUGAGCUUGCAGGACAGAUUGUGCAGCAGAGAAUGUCAUGCAUACAUUUUUUCCGGACCCAGUUCAAGUAGGGACUGAUUCUCCCUCUCCUAU